ACUAGACUAGGACGACCAGGGACCGACUAGGAGUCGACUAAUCGCCCUAGUCGUCGCCUAAUCGCGACUAGUCGCCUGGUCGGUCCUAGGGAUCGACUAGGCGACUUGAAAUCAUUGGGCAUAUGUACAUUAAGACAAAAAUAAAAACAGUUUCUAACUGUUCCUCACUUCCUCUACAGUUAUAGAAGAGUUUAUUUUGGCACAUCACAAUAUUUGUAGAGGUAGGAAGCUGUCAGUGGCUGGUCCAGUAUUCCAGCACCAUGCUUGCAGGACAGUCAGGGCAAUGUGCAGAUGCAAUCGUUUUUUAACGCUUACUAUCAAUCUUAAUUUUAUGUGUUUCAAAAAAAGAAAGAACAUGUGGACCAUGGCUCCAUGAUCCUUGUACGAGAGACAAUACAUGCAGUAUGGUGUAAUGUGCCUCCAGAAGCAUGUUAAGGUUUCUAUGUUGUUUGGAUAUGAUUAUUCUGGAGGGCCGCAUCAUUUAUUUGGCAGCAACAUUAGUCACUUAGUUUCUGGAUGCUGCUAUGCUGCUCUUGUUCACCACUUACUAAUAUUCAUCAACAACAAAACAAACUUCUAAAUGUGGCUGCAUAAUAGAGUAUGGGUACUUGUACAUCUAUCUCAACAGAUGAAAAGAAAUGAUAAGUCAUUUCCUCGAUAACUUAUGUUUUAUUACUGUCUCACUGAUUUUUUUUAAAAAAAGUCACGAGCCAAUUGCAACAAAAUGGAAUGAACUGCUAUUAUUGAUGAACAUAACAUUGCUGAAAUGCCUAUAGAAUGACGAUUAAUCCAGCAGCUCAGCAAUGGUAGAUCAAGAAUCAACCUUCGCCAUGGCCUCAACCCUCCCAGCGAGGAGCUUCUCGACGUACUUCCCCAGUAUAUCCGCCUCCAGGUUCACCUUGUCUCCGACCUUCUUGGUCGGCAGCACGAUGUUGUCCUGCGUGUACCUGACGAGCAUGAAGUCAAACCAGCCGCCCUCGUCGUCCACACUGACAACAGUGAGGCUAGUGCCGUCGACGGCGACGAAGCCCUUGGGCACGAGCAGCCGGAGGAUCUCCGGCGGGGCGCGCACGGUGACCCAGAGCGAGUCCCCGUCCGGCCGGAACGCAGCGAUCUCCCCGGUUCCGUCGACGUGGCCCUGCACGAAGUGCCCGCCCAUGCGGGACGACGGCGUGAGCGCGCGCUCGAGGUUGACACCAUCGCCCGGGGCGCGCCCUCCCAGGGACGUCCGGCGGAGCGUCUCCGGGGCCACGCCGAAAGUGAGCGUGGACGCGGCCGGGUCGAUCGCCGCCACGGUGAGGCAGGCGCCGUCGACCGCCACGCUGUCACCGAGCUGCGUUCCAGCGAGGAGGUUCUUGGUCUCGACCUCCAAGUCAAGGCCAGGAGCCUCGCCGCCACCGCCGCCCCCAGACGGCGUGAGCGGCGGGCCGAGACGGCGCACGCGGCCGACCUCCUCGACGAUGCCGGUGAAUAGGGACCGUACAGGGACGUGGGAGGAGGAGGCGGCGGAGAGGCUCUUCGGGACGGGGGAGAGAGAGAACCGCGGCGGCGGCAAACGCAGGCGCGCGGGCGUGCAGGCCGCACCCCGCGAGGAGAAAGGAAGCGUGGCGGGACCCGAAGGAGAUGGGAGGAGACCCCCGCCGCCGCGGCGGAGGAGCAGGUGCGGGCUGCGGUGGUGGACGGCGGCAACCGCAGCGGCUGGCGGCGCCAUCGCCAGAGAUUCCUCCGGCAGUUCGCGGUGGCAGGUGGGGGAGGUUUUUUUUUUCCUUUUGGGCUAGUAUAACAGUUUUAAGGGCCGG
rnacentral:misc_RNA from 1 species